rnacentral:lncRNA from 1 species
ACUGCACUACUAUUGACCAGAGCCCAUAGGGCUGUGGUUAAAAGUAGUGUACUAUGUAGGGAAUAGGGUGCCAUUUGGAGCACACAGCCAUAGAGUGAUUAAUCAUAGGAGUAGUAUCUCUCUAGAUCAGUGUCUUACUCGGUGAGCAUACUGCCAAAAUAAGGAAGCCUUGUCCAAGCCAGAGCGGCCCAAAGGGCAGGAGCCUGUCUCCUGUUUCUGAAGCGUGAGGCAACUUAAUGUACUAGUACACCCCCUGGACAGGACACUAGUCUGUCUGUCUAUACUGGUAUAUAUUAAUGUACUAGUACACCCCCUGGACAGGACACUAGUCUGUCUGACUAUACUGGUAUAUAUUAAUGUACUAUACACCCCCUGGACAGGACACUAGUCUGUCUGACUAUACUGGUAUAUAUUAAUGUACUAGUACACCCCCUGGACAGGACACUAGUCUGUCUGUCUAUACUGGUAUAUAUU